rnacentral:rRNA from 1 species
UAACUUUUAUUCAUUUUUAAUGCUGGUAUAUAUUCUGAUAUAGUUGAUAAUUUAAUUAUUAAAAAACUUUUAACAAUGGAUCUCUUGGCUCUUGCAUCGAUGAAGAACGCAGCAAAUUGCGAAAAGUAGUGUGAAUUGCAGAAUUCCGUGAAUCAUUGAAUCUUUG